CUGCUCAGUUUGACAGCACAUAUACUAAAAUUGGAACGAUACUGGGAAGAAUAGCAUGGCCACUGUGAAAAGAUAACAUACAAAAUCGUGAAGCGAUCCACGUUUUU
rnacentral:snRNA from 1 species